rnacentral:rRNA from 1 species
GAUGAACGCUGGCGGCGUGCCUAAUACAUGCAAGUCGAGCGAACAGACGAGGAGCUUGCUCCUCUGACGUUAGCGGCGGACGGGUGAGUAACACGUGGAUAACCUACCUAUAAGACUGGGAUAACUUCGGGAAACCGGAGCUAAUACCGGAUAAUAUAUUGAACCGCAUGGUUCAAUAGUGAAAGACGGUUUUGCUGUCACUUAUAGAUGGAUCCGCGCCGCAUUAGCUAGUUGGUAAGGUAACAGCUUACCAAGGCAACGAUGCGUAGCCGACCUGAGAGGGUGAUCGGCCACACUGGAACUGAGACACGGUCCAGACUCCUACGGGAGGCAGCAGUAGGGAAUCUUCCGCAAUGGGCGAAAGCCUGACGGAGCAACGCCGCGUGAGUGAUGAAGGUCUUCGGAUCGUAAAACUCUGUAUUAGGGAAGAACAAAUGUGUAAGUAACUAUGCACGUCUUGACGGUACCUAAUCAGAAAGCCACGGCUAACUACGUG